rnacentral:rRNA from 1 species
UGAGGAAUAUUGGUCAAUGGACGGAAGUCUGAACCAGCCAAGUAGCGUGCAGGAUGACGGCCCUAUGGGUUGUAAAACUGCUUUUGUAUGGGGAUAAAGUUAGGGGACGUGUCCCUAUUUGCAGGUACCAUACGAAUAAGGACCGGCUAAUUCCGUGCCAGCAGCCGCGGUAAU